AAAGGACAGAGCACCCAGAUCUGCUUGGAGAGGCCCCGUCCCAGCUGUGCCCUCCUUCCUCGGGGGUUCUGACAUGCUUCUCGUUGCCAGGGCAUCCUUGCUGCUCUCCUGAAGACCCACCAGGAAGCAGGGUUCUCCUGCCAAAGAGCCACCCCCUCUGCCUGCCUUGCUGACAGCCGGCCUUCACCCAGGCAGAAGAUGAAUGGCAGCCCCAGCUGCCAAAUCGGAACAAAUGGCUACAGAUCUCCUCUUGAACAAAGCUGAAGACAAACACUCCGGGCAUCAGCUGCCGGGCUGGCCUAUGUAUGAAGGGUUUGUUGGAAAGAGAGCUGUCCAGGGUACUCUGGGACCUGAGUUCCGCUCCUGGGACCUGAGUUCCGGUCCUGUCUGGUUCACAGCAUUGAAGGUGAGCUGAGCAAAGCAUGUACAUCUUGGGGUCUUAGUCUCUGCUGGUCAACCAGAGGACGCUGGACUGUAUAGUACUUAGUAUCAGAGCUUUUGAGCUCCAUUUCGUUUCCUUCUGUUUCCAUUUCUGCUCACUGGUUCAAAGCAUCAGGCUGAAAUCUCUCAGUUGUUGGAAGGCAGUACAGCUGCCCAGGGAGACGGUGAACUAAGCAGUCAGAUAAACUGGAGUCACACCGAAGCUGGGCAAGGCUCUUAAACACCCGUAUCCUCAGUUUCGUCAUCUGCAAAAUGGGGUCAUGACACCACAGCAUCUGCCCAGAGCACAUACGCAACAAGUCUCCGUCACGGUUAGUAUUGUAUGUGUGAG
rnacentral:lncRNA from 1 species